rnacentral:rRNA from 1 species
UACGUAGGGUGCGAGCGUUGCCCGGAUUUAUUGGGCGUAAAGGGCGCGUAGGCGGCCACGCACGUCCGUUGUGAAAUCGCCCGGCUCAACUGGGCGGGGUCAGCGGAUACGGUGUGGCUCGAGCAAGCUAGGGGGCAAUGGAAUUCCUGGUGUAGCGGUGAAAUGCGCAGAUAUCAGGAGGAACACCGGUGGCGAAGGCGGAUCUCUGGGCCUUACCUGACGCUGAGGCGCGAAAGCUAGGGGAGCGAACAGG